rnacentral:lncRNA from 1 species
GGGUCUCCUCUUUAGAUAAAUGGCCUUUUCUUGACUCUUGCCGUCUUGCUACAAGAUUAUAGUGUUAGCACCAAGUAUUAUAAAGUUACAGAAAAUUAAUCUCUGCCAGUCCGCGAGGGAAACUAUUUAGAUAGUGUUUCUCGCCAAAAAAAAACUAUGUUAAUUAGAUAGCGAACUAGUGAUUAUCUGCCACAUAGUUUACAGUAGGUCAUCAAUGAGUGAUAAAACUAUGUUUCAGCUAAUUUAGGAUGGUAAUUAUGCCCGUUAAUCAGUCGGACCAGGUGAUUGGAACCAAAACUCGACAUCGUGAAUUUUUCACAAAAGGAAGAGACAACCAGGCGGACCCAUCGUUAAAAAAGAUGGACAUCAAUCUGCUUUCUUUCAUUUUUAAGAAUCAUACAUACGGUACAGACGCAGACGAUUACAUGUACGUAUACACUCACCCAUACGAAUACACAUACGCAACUCUACUACCCCUAUGAGCAUCUUCGAAAAACUGAGCCGGCAAAUCAUCGAGAUUAAGGAAGUCACCACUGGUACCUCACUCACCCGUGCUGAGUUGAGAACUCGAACUCGAACUCGGGUGGAUAGGUUCCACCAUAAGAAACCUUACCAGCUACCUACUCCGUACACGACAUGUUUCUAUCAUCUUACUAUUACUAAUUGGAGGCUCCUUUUGAAGCCUCUAGGUGAAGCCACAUGAGAUCCUAGGUGGACACUCUAAAAAAAAAGAGAAAUCCUAUAAAUUCUCAUAAAAAAGAAAACAUCUAACCAUCAAUCGGUAGACUCAAAUCAUCAUAGCCAUUGGAUCUAUUAUAUUUUCUAAAAAAUUACCCACAUAUGCCAUUAUGAAAAAAGCCUAAAGUAUCCUCCUAAAUCUGUAUCCAAAUUACCCACCUAUGGAAUUAUAUAAAAUAAACUAAAGUAACCCCCUAAUCUUCAUAAAAAUGACCCACUUGUGCCAUUGUAAACAAUAUUUAAAAUAACCCCCUAAAUUUGCAACUAAAUUGCCCACCACUAAAUAAAAUAACUUAAAAUAACCCCUUAAAUUUUUAUCUAUAUUACCCACAUAUACUAUUAUUAAAA